AUAUGUGUCCUCCCGCCUGGACCAAGUAGCUAUGCUGGCUCCUGGUGCCCAUGGAGGCUCACUGUCCUCACUUACAGUUUAGUUACUCCCCUGUCCCGCUUUUUGUCAGCUUCUCCACUGUCAUGAAGAACUCAAAGCCUGUUGACCAUUUGAAAGGCUAUUCUCCUGGAUACCACCACCCUGACCAGUGAUAGCCCAGAGCUUCAGUGCUUCUCUGGACAAGGACAAAAGGUUUAAUCCCAACAUUAUCCUUUGAUUCCUGGACCCAGGUUCCCGAGACACAGUCCAGAAUUCGGCCGUCGUGACUGGGUCUGCCACAUUCUGCAGGUCUGAGAUGCUCCUCCCACCUUCCUGUGCCCUUCCAACUGCUGAAGACAGAAUGCCCUUGGAUAAAAAGCCCGCUGGAAUAUUUGGCUGGAUAAUAGGAAAAUGGACAGCCUACUCAUUUAGUUGCAUUCUGGAGAACUUGGGACAUUAAAUCCCUGGUUUCUACACGCCCCAGUCUUGCAGACUGGCCUGAACCGUGGUAAACAAUUUAGACUAGCUUUAGUAUGACAUGAUG